UGACCAUUGACGCCGCGUGAGGGAUGAAGGCCUUCGGGUUGUAAACCUCUUUCAGUAGGGAAGAAGCGAAAGUGACGGUACCUACAGAAGAAGCACCGGCUAACUAUGUGCCAGCAGCCGCGGUAAUACAUAGGGUGCAAGCGUUGUCCGGAAUUAUUGGGCGUAAAGAGCUCGUAGGUGGUCCGAUACGUCGGAUGUGAAAAUCAGGGGCUCAACCCCUGACCUGCAUUCGAUACGGUCGAGCUAGAGUUUGGUAGGGGAGACUGGAAUUCCUGGUGUAGCGGUGGAAUGCGCAGAUAUCAGGAGGAACACCGAUGGCGAAGGCAGGUCUCUGGGCCAAUACUGACACUGAGGAGCGAAAGCGUGGGGAGCGAACAGGAUUAGAUACCCUGGUAGUCCACGCCGUAAACGGUGGGCGCUAGUUGUGCGAACCUUCCACGGUUUGUGCGACGCAGCUAACGCAUUAAGCGCCCCGACUGGGGAGUACGAUCGCAAGAUUAAAACUCAAAGGAAUUGACGGGGCCCCGUACAAGCAGCGGAGCAUGCGGCUUAAUUCGACGCAACGCGAAGAACCUUACCAAGGCUUGACAUAUACAGGAAUACGGCAGAGAUGUCGUAGCCGCAAGGUCUGUAUACAGGUGGUGCAU
rnacentral:rRNA from 1 species